GACAUCAGCCCUCACCUUACUGGUCCUAGUUGCAUCUACUUGGGCUGCUGAUAAUCAAAUAAAAGGAACAGAGGUUAAAUGCCUCUGGCCCUCCAUUGAAGGCAAGAUGAUAAUCAUGCCCAAAAAUCUAUCAACCAAUCUGUGGUACUGAUCAGAUAACUCACCCAAAUGAAUGUUUACUCUGUGCCUCUAAUUUGGAAAACCAUCUGAAGAUCAGAAAGCUACAUGAAGGAAAAUGUGUCAAAUGCCCAAAAGAAGAGAAAAUGGUAUGCACCUUAGAAGACGAGCCCCAUUGUGGCUCUGAUGGACAAGUAUAUGCCAACAGAUGUCUCUUCUGCAAUGCUGUUCUGAAAAGUGGGGGUGAGCUGACAUUACAAAAAUAUGGAUUAUGCUGAAGACAAUGGCCACAUGUUCUACAAAAAGCUUCCUUGUUGGGACCCUGUACAUUAUCUUUGGAUCAUCCCCCAUUUGAUCAGGCUGUUGUCUUUGGUCAUUCUGACUC